ensembl:snoRNA
GGUCUGUGAUGUUUUAUGGCAUGUAUUAGCUGAAUCCAGAGUUGAUGUAAAUUCUGAAAUAACACUGAGACCUU